GCCUCCUGACAAACUAUAAGAGGUCAAGCCUGCCCAGUGACAUUGUUCAACGGCCGCGGUAUCCUAACCGUGCGAAGGUAGCGUAAUCACUUGUUCUUUAAAUGAGGACUAGUAUGAACGGCUUCACGAGGACUAUACUGUCUCCUUUAUUCAAUCAGUUAAACUAAUCCCCCCGUGAAGAAGCGGGGAUACACCUAUAAGACGAGAAGACCCUAUGGAGCUUUAAACAUUUAAAACAUUCGAACCUUACACUACUACCUCCAGAAAACUUCAUUAAGCCUCUCAUUUUGUUUUAAGUUUUAGGUUGGGGUGACCACGGAGAAUAACCUAACCUCCACGUAGAAAGAAACUCCCUUUCCAAGCAAAAACCCACAUCUUUAUGCAUCAAAAUAUUGACCUAAAUUGACCCAAUUAUUUGAUCAACGAACCAAGUUACCCUAGGGAUAACAGCGCAAUCCGCUUUAAGAGCUCCUAUCGACAAGCGGGCUUACGACCUCGAUGUUGGAUCAG
rnacentral:rRNA from 1 species